UGCUUUGGUACUGAGAUGAAU
rnacentral:piRNA from 1 species